ACCUCAAAGACUGACACUGUGAAUAGUCGCCUGACUCUGUGGUGAAGAUACUGCAAGCCAGCAGCAGGCUGCCAGUGUCCUGCUCCCCUUCCCCAGAGCAUAGCGAUGUUCUACGUCUGAGAGAGGUCAGUGGCAUGCAGGUGGGAUGGCGGGACGCACAUUGCCUUCCUUCCACACCUGGCUUGCAGAGCCCUGGACUGUACCCUCCAGGCUCUCUCAUCUUUCACCUGCCACUGCCCCAGCUGAACUUUUGGGAAUCCACGUGUGCAAAAUGGCAGAGCCUCUCAAAUGUGGAUCCCAAAAUGACUGUGUGGAACAACGCUCCCAAACCGCCUGCAUUGUUCUUCCUAGAAGCCAGAAGUACAAGUUCAUCAGGAAAUGCAUUCUUGUUCGUAGCGGUGGAGCACAGCUUUGGGGUCUUUGUGUGGUUGGUUGAUUUGGUUUUUGGUUUUUUUUUUUUUAUUACAUCAGCUAGGACCUUAAGAGCAGUUUCUGGUUUACCGUCCUGUGUUCAAAUCCCCAGGAAAUAGCUAGAGCUCAGCACAUUCUCUGCGAGCAAAUGCAAGCGCACGGGUCACUACUGCACGAAGAAGCAGAUGGCCUGAAAGAAUACGUGGUGUUCACAAAAGUCAGGCAGAGCAGAGCAGGGGUUAAAAGCUGUGUAGGUGAGCCUGGGUUGAGUGCUGCCUUCUCUCCUGUGACUCCGUGGCCAGGCUUUCCUUACAUGAAAGGAGAAACGCAGAGUGAUUUUGGGUUCUUGGUGGACAGACCCAUGAAGAUAACAGAACACUAGGGCAGUGUCUCAGAGAAGAUGGCACAGUCAUUAACACGAGAUGACAAGUUGUAAGGGAGAGGACUCUGGGUAGCCACACACAACAUAAGACGUGCUUUUACUGCAGUGGCAGGGUAAGGACAAGCUCACUGUAGGAAUGCCCUCUGCCCGCUGAGGGGAACUGUCAGUGUCCAUGGUCAGUAGCAAACCCUUCCCCACGGGUGGGCCCCUGGGCUCUGCGCAGCCCCAUGUGACCUUGCUGGAGACCUCCUUCUUCAAAGUGCAAAGGACUUCCAGGAUGGCUAGUGAACUACCCUGCCUCCAAACCUCUGCUGUGCUCCCUCCACAUUGUCCCUCUGCUCACUGCUCCCCUAUGUCCCUACUGUGUGGUCCUCCACACUUUCCCUCUGCUCACUGCUCCCCUGUGUUCCUACUGUGUGCUCCCUCCACACUGUCCCUCUGCUCACUGCUCCCCUGUGUUCCUACUGUGUGCUCCUCCACACUGUCUCUCUGCUCACUGCUUCCCUAUGUCCCUACUGUGUGCUCCCUCCACACUGUCCCUCUGCUCACUGCUCCCCUAUGUCCCUACUGUGUGCUCCUCCACACUGUCUCUCUGCUCACUGCUCGCCUGUGUCCCUACUGUGUGCUCCCUCCACACUUUCCCUCUGCUCACUGCUCCCUCCACACUUUCCCUCUGCUCACUGCUCCCCUGUGUUCCUACUGUGUGCUCCCUCCACACUGUCCCUCUGCUCACUGCUCCCCUAUGUCCCUACUGUGUGCUCCCUCCACACUGUCCCUCUGCUCACUGCUCCCCUAUGUUCCUACUGUGUGCUCCCUCCACACUGUCCCUCUGCUCACUGCUCCCCUAUGUUCCUACUGUGUGCUCCCUCCACACUGUCUCUCUGCUCACUGCUCCCCUAUGUUCCUAACAUUUCAGCCUUUAAUGGUGACACUUUGCAGCACACCCAGAACUACUAGCUUAGGGUCAAGAACAAACUCUCAGCUGAUUCAUUUCGAUCCAGCAGAGCUGACCAUGACAUGAGCUGGGUCUGGAACAUUCAAAUUACUUGUUUCAAACAUGACAGCAGCAUGCCUGCUGUUGCUGGGUUUCAAGUUGUAAAUUGCUUUCCUCUGAGCAUGUGUCCUUUCCUUCUGACUGUCCCUUCUCUCAGUCACUAUAUAUUGCAAACAAUUGAAACUGGGUGCCCCACAGGUGUCUUUCUUAGAAAACUGAGCCACAAAUCUUCUGUUAAUAGUCUCUUAAACUAAGCUACAGAUUAUGAAACUUUGUUUAUAAUGAGACAGAGACUAAAUAGUUGAGGCUCUGUGAGCCCUCAAAGUAUAAAAAUAACCAAAAAUAAUAUGUAAAGAAGUGUAUAUAAAUGUGCUUCAGUAAAAACCUUAUUUUAAAAAUACUCCAUUAGCUAGAGUUGGCCCAGUGGCUGUAAUCUGAAAAGUCUAAUUUUAAGUACAUUAUAGUUUUAUGUACUUAAAUUUAACUUCCCAUGAAAACUUUAUUUAUUUUUACAAACUUCCUAAAUUACCACAAUUGUUAAGACUAUAGAAACAAAUGAAAACACCCUGUUAAGGGUAUUCCAUUGUGUUUAUUGUCCAUAUACAUGCUACUUGAAAGAAAAGUUACAUAUGGAAACUUUGUAUAUGAAAAAUGUUUUCUAACAAGAAAUGAAAAAAAAAUGAUUUCUGACAUAAUUAUGGGGCUGGGUUACAAACUGAAGAAGACAAGCUGGCCAAAAUUGAGGGCAACAAAGAUUUGCUGUAUUCAUUGUGGGUGUUUACAUGAGUCCCUGGGGUUAUCAUAUGACUAGGAAUCAGAGGGUCCCUGCCACCCAACAGCUACUAUUACUAUUAUUGAAGCAGCCUCAUUUGUCUUAGGCUGGCCCCAAACUCCCACUUAGUCAGCAUGACUUUGGACUCCUGAUCCCCCUGCUUUGAGUCCUGAGUACCAGCAUUAGAGGAGUGUGCCACGGUGUCCUGCUUGUCUUUCCAAUUAAUUGGGGUGCUUUGGGGGGUGAUAAGUACCGGGAGUAAAAGUCAGGAAUAGUCAGUGCAUCUGGGGGGAACACUUAAGAGAAGCUGGGCACGUCCAAGAGGUGUUAAGUAGACCUUUGUCUUGGGAAGUGACUCAGAUAAGGAGCUGGGGUGAGGGUCAGAAACAAAUCAGAAGGGACAGUGGAAAGCAUUGCAUGCUGGGAAAGGACUGAGGUUGAAUCCAUUAGGCAAAGGAAACUGAACUGCCAAAGAAUAGCAUCUGAGCUAGACCAGUCUUAGAAGAUCAAGAGAGCCAGUCUGAAGGCUAGGGACACAGGCAAGCAACCCUGAACAGUGCAGGUAGUAAGGUCCAGGCAAUGGCUGUGUCAAGGUCAGAUGGUGUCGUGAAAUUGCUUGCUGUUUCUAUAAACUCCUCAGAGUUAACAGUAGCAUCUGCUGUCUGCCUGUGGCACCAUCUCUUACUGGAUGAAGAACAGUGCGGCAUUCACUGGCUGCUGACAAUGUCUAUUCUUGUGCUCUGCUAUGCUUUAAUUAUGUUUGACAUUCAUCACACACCAUUAUCCAGUGGCAGCCAGUUGCCGAUCCACAGCCUCAUCAGAAGUCAAACAAAAGCAAGGACACAGGUAAUUAUGUAGCAUGAUAUUGUUAUUAUUUGGAAGUCAGGAGAUAUGUAGGUUGAAUACAUUUGUGGCUUCCUACCUCACAAACUGCUCAUAUGUCUCCUUUUGAUUCAAUUGUAAGGACUCUCAGCCCAUGAUUUAAUUACAAAAUAGCCCAAGCCAGGAACAGUUCAAAGGAAUAAAGAUGCUAAAAUUAGACUGGAAUCAGGAAGGUGACACCUGCUUAUCAUGAAUUUUUUAAAACAUACAAAAGUGAGAAUUCUGUAGUAAGCCCAUUAACCUGUCAUUCUGUGUUUGUAAUCAGCAUCACACUCCUGAGCAUAUUUCAAGUUUUAUUUUUAGUAAUUAGCCUGAAUUAUUUUCAAGUCAGUCUUAGGUACCAUUUUUAUUUCCCCUACAUAUACUUCAAAAUAGAUCUUUAAUAGACAACUUUGGGGCUGAAGAGAUGGCUCGGGGUUGAGAUCAUUCAGUGUUCUUGUGGAGAGCCAGAUGUUGGUUCCCAGCACUCAUGUCAGGAAGCUCCAAACCACGUGCUGGGAACUCUAGCUCCAGGGAAUUUAACAAACUUCUGGCCUCCUUAAGUACCCACACAGAGAUAUGCAUACAUAUAUGCAGAUACACAUACACAUAAAUUUAAAGUAAAAGAUAAAAUAUAUAAGAGAAUUUUUUAUUAGUGUAUAUGAUACAAAGUACUGAGUUUCAGUUUUCAUUGGCAUUUUUAUACCUGCGUGUAAUGUCAUCCUUCUGUUAUCAUUUCUUUUAUACCCACGUGUAAUGUCACCUUUCGGUUACCACCUCGUAUCUCUAGUUUCUCUCUCAUUAUGACUUUCAUGUCUCUAAUAUUCUUCCUUUAACUUCCAUAGCCUUUAGAUUUUUCUUUUACAUGUAUUUAGUUAGUUGACGUGUAUAGUGGAUAGAAUGCAUGUGGGAGUCAGGGGACAACUUUCAGAGUUCAAUUCUCUAUGGCAUAUGGGACCUAGGGAUCAAACAAACCCAGACCAUCAGGCUUGGCCACUUGCCUUUACCACUGAAUGCUUUUGCUGGCCUUUCUCUUUACUUCUCCAAGUUCCUUGGCAGAGCUAAUAUACAUCUUAGCUACAGUAGAGUUCUUUUAAGCUUGCUUAUUUUGUUUAACAUGAUGAUUUCUACUUUCAGCCAUUUUCCUGCAAAGAAAGAAUUUCACUCAUCUUUAUGACAGAAAAAGCUAGGCACUGUGGAUAAGUUAAUGGUCUUUCUUGUGGUAGGAAAGGUGGCUACUUGUAAAACAACUGUAAUCAUUUUAAGGCUUAGAAGCAAGUGAUAUACCUGAUGCUCUGGCCUUCUCCAUGGUUGCUGCCAAGACUGGAUGACUUUCCCACAUUUCUACUGUGAUAUAGAGACUGAUAGAAAGAGUUUUAUCUAAAUUUCAUUUCAGAGAUUUCCCUGUAAAACCCCAAUCUCCCCAACCCCAUGUAUGUUUAUGUGGUUAUAUGCAUAUAUAUGUAAAAAUGCACAUCUCCAGUAGCUCUAACUUUGCCCUUUCAUAUAUCCUUCUCUUAAAUUGGAUCUCUGCUCACACCUACUUCAAGUUCUGGGCAAAAUGGGGCUGGACCUGAGUGGUGCCAACUACCUGAAAAGAUCUUCUAAAGCCAAGGAGUCUUACAAACCAUGACAAGACCUGCAGGAAGCUUGUGCUGGGAAUGGGGAGGUGGCAUGGUAUGGCCUGCUGCUCCUGUCAGGAGGGAGGGCUCAGUAGGUCACAGUUCUAGCAUGACUCUGCUUUACUUUCUUUUUGCUCUCUAUCUGGGCCUCACCUCACUUUCCUCGAUCAGUGGCGCACUGUGGGUGUGACUUUUGCUCUCAUAAACCACGGUACCAUCUGCUUCUGCCUUCUCUCCUUUGAUGUCAUUCUACAGAUGGCAAGGGCAGGAUGAAAGUGGCACUCGGUUGAGUAUGACACUCUGGGUGCAUCAAGCCUGCCGUGCACUGGUGCUGCUGAAAACCAGUUUAGCCCAGUGUGAACAUAAUAAUGGAGAUUACAUCUUGACCUAGUGUCCAGGAUCCCAGUGGAAGGUAUUGGGAGUGCACGCGCCCACUUCAAAGGAAACACUUAGGAUGUGAGCAUGGACACACAUGAUGGAUUGAAAGGUAACCUGGAAGGUUUCUAAGAAACGAUGACAGCUUGCCAAUAAUAACCUACCAAGGCCCCAAAAUACUGUGGGUAAUUCAAACAAUGGGAAAAGUCUUACAAGUGUGCUUGUUAAUUUGACCAUGUGUCAGCGUGAAUUAGUCAACAGCUAUAGCUAAUGCAGGAAAGGGAAAAAAUUAAUAUUCAUCAGGCUCUUGUUUACACUCCUAUUGUCAAGGUCAAUCAGUUUGCCUCAAGCACAAAAUUCCCCUCUUAUUAAAGCCAUUAGUGCCCUUCAGUAAACGGGAACAGGCGUUUUAGGGGUACUUGAUUUCCACGGUCUCACAUAUAGAGAAAUCCAGACUUUCCUCAUAUUUCGUGGGCUUUAAACAUAAACAUUUAUUUAGCCCGACAAGUAAGUGAUGCUUCAUGGUGGAAUUAUAGUUCAAAAUGAGGUUCCUGCUGAUGUAGUUUAUAGUACUCUGAGUUACACUGAAGCUCAGUUGUGAACACAAACACUGUAUUCAGUCCCUCUGGAGUAAUCACUGCUGCCAGGUACUUGUGAUACAUUAAAACAAUCUUGUAAAAUUUUGUUUACCUUCUAUUCAAACCUUACCUGUUAAUAAGUGCACUGUGGUGGGGAAGCAUUACUGAAGGUCUCUGUCACUAGGAUCCCAUAGCUGUGAUGCUAGCAAAGGACGUUUGCUUAUGAUAAAUAAAGUCACUUACGGAUCUGUCAUGUCGCUGGACAUUGCAGGGUUACAGUAGUCUGACUCCUCAGCUGGGAUCCGCGGGCCCACAGAUGGCAUGAUGGAUCACAUUUAAUUGUCUGUGAGUGAAGAGACACUAAACCUAUAUCUGUGCUGGAAAUGCCAGACUGUUUGGCCGAAAUCUUGCUUUAGCUUCUCCACUUUUCGCUGUCUACAGUUGCCUUGUCUGUCGGCCAUCGCAAGUAUCGAAUUAAUAUUUAAAUCAAUUAAAAUGAAACUGAACUAAAAAUUCAGCUGAUCAGUCGCAUUGCCAUGCUUAGUGGCCACAUGUAGUUAAGUGAGAGUCAGGAGAGAAUGUUUCUGCCGUCUCGGCAUAUUUACCUGGAGAAUACUUAUCUAACAUUAAUCUAGAAACUGGAGAGAUGGCUCAGCUGUUAGGAGUACUUACUGCUCUAGCAAGUGACCCAAGUUCAGUUCUCAGCAACUGCAUUGGGCUCCUGUCACAAUCACAAGAACACCUGUCCUUCAGUUGUUUCCCUGGAGAUUUUUUCUUUCAAAUAAGUGAAUAAAAUUAUCUUUGACCACUUUUCUUCAAAAGCAAUCCUCAGGCAAAACACAUAUAAUAAACAAAAACAAAAAACCCUCUUUUAUCAAUGAAUCUAGAUGUUUGACUUGAAUAAAGUAGGAAUACAGAAGGAGAUGGACAAAUUGUGAUAAUGUAUCACAUGGGAGGAAAGUCAUGUCUCAGUGACUGUGUACCAGUGUGUGUGUGUGCUCAUAGUGUAUGCAUGUAUGUGUGUGCAUGUGUAUGCAUGUGUGUGUAUGUGUAUGUGUGUAUGUGCUCAUGGUGUGGACAUGUGUGUAUGUGUGUGUGUGUGCUCAUGGUAUGUGCAUGUGUGUGUGCUCAUAGUGUGUGUAUGUGUGUUCAUGUCUGUAUGUGUUUAUGGUAUGUGCAUGUGAGUGUGCCCAUGUUUAUGCAUGCGUGUGUGCAUGCAUAUGUAUGUGUGCUCAUGGUGUGUGCAUGUGUGUGUGUGCUCAUGGUGUGUGCAUGUGUGUGUGAGCUCAUGGUAUGUGUGCAUUCAUGCAUGCAUGUGUAUGUGCUCACAGUGUGUGCACACAUUCACACAUGAAAAAUAGAUUAGUGGUGGGCAUACACUGCAUAUAUGUUUAUGGGGCUUUCUAAACUUUUUUCAUUCCUGAUAUCUGUUCACUGGAGAAUUUUUAGUGACCCUGGAUAUAAUAUAUAUGUGUGUGUGUGUGUGUGUGCAUAUAUAUGUAUAAAUAUGCAUAAUAGAUAUGUAAAUAAAACAUUUGCCAAUAAGCUAUACGUAUAUCUUCCAUAGUGCA
rnacentral:lncRNA from 1 species